AUCUAAUCCUGUUUGCUCCCCACGCUUUCGCACCUGAGCGUCAGUCUUUGUCCAGGGGGCCGCCUUCGCCACCGGUAUUCCUCCAGAUCUCUACGCAUUUCACCGCUACACCUGGAAUUCUACCCCCCUCUACAAGACUCUAGCUUGCCAGUUUCAAAUGCAGUUCCCACGUUAAGCGCGGGGAUUUCACAUCUGACUUAACAAACCGCCUGCGUGCGCUUUACGCCCAGUAAUUCCGAUUAACGCUUGCACCCUCCGUAUUACCGCGGCUGCUGGCACGGAGUUAGCCGGUGCUUCUUCUGCGAGUAACGUCAAUGAACUGUGCUAUUAACACUCGAACCCUUCCUCCUCGCUGAAAGUGCUUUACAACCCGAAGGCCUUCUUCACACACGCGGCAUGGCUGCAUCAGGCUUGCGCCCAUUGUGCAAUAUUCCCCACUGCUGCCUCCCGUAGGAGUCUGGACCGUGUCUCAGUUCCAGUGUGGCUGGGUCAUCCUCUCAGAACCAGCUAGGGGAUCGUCGCCCUAGGGUGAGCCAUUAACCCAACCCUACUAAGCUAAAUUCCAAUUCUGGGGGCAACAUUUCUGGAAUUGGGCCGUUGAAGGGG
rnacentral:rRNA from 1 species